rnacentral:rRNA from 1 species
CCUACGGGAGGCCGCAGUGGGGAAUUUUGGACAAUGGGGGCAACCCUGAUCCAGCCAUUCCGCGUGAGUGAAGAAGGCCUUCGGGUUGUAAAGCUCUUUCGCAAGGGAAGAAAACUUAUGAUCGAAUAAAUCAUGAGGUUGACGGUACCUUGAUAAGAAGCACCGGCUAACUACGUGCCAGCAGCCGCGGUAAUACGUAGGGUGCGAGCGUUAAUCGGAAUUACUGGGCGUAAAGCGUGCGCAGGCGGUUUUGUAAGUCGGAUGUGAAAUCCCCGGGCUCAACCUGGGAACUGCGUUCGAAACUGCAAGGCUAGAGUGUGUCAGAGGGGGGUAGAAUUCCACGUGUAGCAGUGAAAUGCGUAGAGAUGUGGAGGAAUACCAAUGGCGAAGGCAGCCCCCUGGGAUAACACUGACGCUCAUGCACGAAAGCGUGGGGAGCAAACAGGAUUAGAUACCCUGGUAGUCCACGCCCUAAACGAUGUCAACUAGUUGUUGGUAGAGUAAAAUCUAUGAGUAACGUAGCUAACGCGUGAAGUUGACCGCCUGGGGAGUACGGUCGCAAGAUUAAAACUCAAAAGGAAUUGACGG